ACAUUACAAAUGUUGUAUGCAUGCUGCAAUUUAUGCUAUCGUGAAUAUCAAAGGAGAAAAGACCAAAUAUGAGUGAGAUGUCUGUACAAAUUCAAAUGUUUUCAGUUCCAACAGUGAUUAUCAAUUAAUUUAAUGUUAUGACGAAACUGGCAAAUCAGAAAUGCAGAAUUCAAUUCUAUUAAUUAAUUAAUUAAUUAAUUAAUAUAAAAAAAUAAGAAUUGUCCCUUUAAUGACUUCAUUAAGGCAUUACCAACAUGCUGCAUGAUGUUGCCUUUGAUUGAUCUAAACCCAAAUACUGAGAGGUAUCUGAUAGUCAGUCAAAAUAUAUACUCACAAAGCAAAGCCAAAGACGCUCUCGUGGUGUGGCUCUUAAAAGAGCCUUUGGGGUGUAUGUAGCUGCUGUUGACAAAAGAGGGAAAAGGGAGAAAGGACCAAAUAUGAGUAAAAUAUGUCUGUACAAAUUCAAAUGUUUUCAGUUCCAUCAGUGAUUAUUGAUUAAUAAAUAUGUUAUGACGAAACUGGCAAAUCAGAGAUGCAGAAUUCCAUUCUAGUCUAUUAAUUAAUUUAUUUAAAGAAGUAUCCUUUUAAUGUCUUCAUUAAGAUUAUAACUUGCCACAUUAAGUUGCUUUAAUUGAUAUAUUGAUCAGUUAGCAUGUUAUGAUGAAUCUGGCAAAUCAGUAGGUUGACUUACAACAAUCAGAUGGCAAUCAACACUGAGAAAAAAGAGAGAGAAGAGAAUAAAUUAUUUGCAUGGUAUAAAUUCUCAAAGUUUCUCAAAGGCUCUGAUGAAUACAUAAUCCACAUUAAGAUGCAUUUAGAAUAAUAACAACAAUACUACUACUACUACUACUAAUAAUAAUAAUGAUAACUAUUAUUGUUAUUAUUGUUAUAGUUGAACAAAAUGAGAGAUGAUCUAUUUCAUUAUAGAGGGUUUAUGAGUCUCUCUCUCUCUCUUUCGCUCUCGGUGCCAGCGUGUGUGAGAGAGAGAGUGAGAGGGAGCUCACGCGCUCGCAGUCAAACCUGUGACAACGCAAUAUUUUCCAUACAAAUUAAAGAUAUUAUGAAGCAUAGUUGUAUAACUUAUCUAUUUUCAAUGAACGUUAUCAUGACAGAUAACUCAAACGAAAGAGCGUCUCUCAAACGGAGCGUAUUGGCUCCAUUAGCAAUGACGUCGACACACCGAUGUAACCAACGUCUUCUCACUGACGUCACUCACUUCUAAAACUUGUCUGCCGCCAUCUUGAGUAAGUUACCUGAUUCACGUCAGUCGCAAAGGAACUAAAGUUAGCUAGCUAUGCCUUCAAUAUGUUGUGCGGUGGGGUGCAACAACAAAAAAGGAGACCCCAAAAUAUUCUUUUACAGGUUACCUCAGGACGAAAAAAGACGCCAUCAACAGGGCAGACUGGACACCAACAGCAAACACUCGUCUGUGCAGUGCUCAUUUUUUCUGUGGUGAGUGGAUGUAAAUAACGUUAUAUUGUUAAUGAGCUAACGCUCGCUGUCGCGACCAGAUGAUUUAGCUACCCCUUGUGCUGACAUAUGCUAGAAAACAGCCAGAAGUUAUUGAUAGCCUAGCUGCUGUUUAAAAGUUUUAAAGAACACUUAACUUUCCUUUGUGUGGCAAGGGGGGCGUGAUAUAAAUUUAGCGAAGUCUAUGACGGGAGAUAGGAUCGGGAGACAGCUGUGGGUCAAGUGCAAAUGACCAACACCUGUGUCUUGUUUCAGUGUGUGGAGAGACCGCGCAUUAGGGACAGGGAUCGCUGUCAGAAUUUGAAUUUAAACUUUGUUGCUGCUGCGCUGUGUCGCUGUGCGCGACUUUGUUUCGUUGUUUCUUUUCGCAAAGAGACGGAAAAUCGUUGUUUGUGUGAGAUGUGGUACAUUUACUGGAAAAAAAGUCAAUUUUGUGUGAGAUGUGGUACAUUUACUGGAAGAAAGUCCAGUUUUUAUAAUAAUGUAAUGAGUUUCAUGAGUGAAAAAAACGGCUGUUAUUUUAAUAGAGAAAAACGAACUGUUCCCUCAGACCGUUUGCGAUUAUAAUUACUUAUUAUAAUUACAUUUCAUUACUUUCUUUCUUCAUAGUUUUAAAUGUAAUUUACUUUGUUGUCGGACCAUACUUUUAAAAAGUAAUUUAACGAAAUCGGUUAAGUAAAAAGUAAUUCACCUCAGGAAAACACAGUUGCUGGGACGUCACUCAAAGGGUACGUUAGGCAGGUGCGCGCGGUGGGCACAGACCCCAGCUUAUAUAGGCCCGCUGCCCGGUUUCGCGGGCUUGGCACGCGAUUAAUAACUUAAAUAUUGAGAGGGGAAAAAAAUAUUUAAAAAAAAAAAAUAUUUGUACAUUUAUAUAAUGACACACUGCGUUACCUUGGCAUUAAACGUCAAAAAAAAUUUCAAAAAAUUGUGGGGUUUUCUAAUACUGCAGCGUUUGGUUUUACUAUACUUUAUUCAAAGCAGUGGUGUUACCAAAAAUAUGUCAUAUACUUUUUUUCCCCUUCUUUUUCUUGUAGGUUUGAGAGUCCCACUUUGUUAAAUAUAAUUGAGCAACCAUAGGUGGCGAUAAGCACGCGAGCAGGCAUUGAGGCAAUGGAUGAAGAUGAGCCAGCUAGCUGCGCUGAACGCGAUCAUUGUUGAUGGUUGAGAGUGAGAUGUGCUUUGGAAAACCAUCAUUCUCUUCAAUGGCUUCACAAAAUUCCGACUGAAAAUUUACUGAACAAAGAGUGAAGUAGCAAAGUGUUCCUGCAAAGGCGACCUGUUACACAGCGGAUUCUCUGUAAACUGAUACCAAACAGUUGGAGUAUCCGGGAUCUGUUUUUAACUGAACAAGGCAUCGAUUUCUUCCAUUCUUCUACCAAUUUUUUUUUUCUGAACUGGAAAUCUUUUUUCUUCAACAUCUUCCUGAACUGAAUUGAAUUGUAUUCCACGACAAGAACAGAAAUUAAAUGGAAUUUAAGUACCACACAUUAUAAUUGUAUUUUCAUUUCAUGUACAGCAUAAAUUUUGUGUAUUGCUUGUCUGUCUAACAGUAAAGUGCUGACUGACGUCGGAAGUGCUGAGAACACACAUUAUAACUUCCUUCAACUGUCGGUCAUAGCGGGCUUGUGGGCAUCUUCUGAAAAAAAAAAAAUCUUAGAGAAAUGUUGCAAAAAAGUAUCCCAUAUAAUUUCAUUCUAGAAAGGCAUUUAUAUAAUAUAAUUGUAUGUAGUCUUACAAUUGAUUCCACUUAUGUUACAGUUAUCAGG
ensembl:lncRNA